UCUUCCUCGGUGCUGUCUGUGGGCCUGGCAGCUCACUGGGCACCAAGGCUGCCCUCAGCUUGUCAAAAGAGAACCAAGAAGUUCAUCAACACCAGCCAAACACAAAUGUCAACAUAUCCAGAGGCAUUGACAAUAGUGUGUGCAGAAGGUUCAAGGCCAGGUCUUAAUGCCCAAUAUGAGUUAUGGGAGCAGCACAGAAACAAAGCACGUGCUGCCCAGUGGCUUUCGGAAGUUCCUGGUCCACAGGGUCAAGGAGCUUGAAGUGCUGCUGAUGUGCAA